GCUACCAUAGAUCACCAGGCCACCCGC
rnacentral:rRNA from 1 species